rnacentral:rRNA from 1 species
UACGGGGGGGGGCAAGCGUUGUUCGGAAUUACUGGGCGUAAAGGGCUCGUAGGCGGCCAACUAAGUCGGAUGUGAAAUCCCCAGGCUUAACCUGGGAACUGCAUCCGAUACUGGAUGGCUUGAAUUCGGGAGAGGGAUGCAGAAUUCCAGGUGUAGCGGUGAAAUGCGUAGAUAUCUGGAGGAAUACCGGUGGCGAAGGCGGCAUCCUGGACCGACAUUGACGCUGAGGAGCGAAAGCUAGGGGAGCAAACGGGG